AUGUCUGUAAUGGCCAACUCCACAGCACAAACACCUAGGGAAAACUCUGCUGAAAGUAAAUCUGACACAUCAACCAUAUCUAUUCCCAUUGGUGCUCUGGGAUUACACUCUUUCCUCUCUGACAUAAUGCUCAAAACAACAUAGCAUCUCCAGCCACAGCACUGCUGAGACUGUUCGCUCCAUCCAGCUGUGUGUCACUGGCAGGGUCAGAGCUGUGGCACAGAAGGCUGACAUCUGUCCUUAGUGGGGUGGAUUGAGGGAGCUGGUCUGCACAACUGGAAAUCCAGCAGAUAUAUUUAGAGCAGGAGGACAAGGUUGUUCAUCUUGAAAAUGACUGUGACUCUGGGCAACCUUGAUGCCCUCUACAGCACCACAGGACAGCGUGGCCUGGCUCUGUUUACUGAACUCGCUUAAAUCCACAGCCAAGGUGCUCUGAUUCCUCCUCUGUCAGAGGACUUUACUUAUUCAGGUUGGUGGAGAGCUGCUUAUCGCACAUGAAUUACACUUGAAUUCACUUAUUUAAAAAAAAAAAAAAUCAUUUAUGUCAAGUCAAGCUGUAACUUUAUGAAAUUAUGCAAAAAGUGUGAAAAUAGUUUUCUAGCCCUCAUCACCCAUUGCAUCUGUUUCCUGUCACAAGAUGUUUAUGACAGAGAUGCACAACUUAAGUCAUAUGAUUGAUCCCUGUUAGAGCAAAAAAUCUGCUGCAAAUGACAUCAUCUUCAGUGUGCAGAUAUUUGCUUUAAAUCACAGUAAUGAUGCCAGUGACUGUGCUUCUCUGGCAGUCUUUUAUUAUCUUUUCAGAAACAAAUUGAGACAGAAAUAGACAAUGGUCCUUAAAGGACACUUUCGUGGUGCCAUUUGUAAACGCCUGAUGAAAUUUCCAUAUCGAGUCAGCAUUCUAGGACAGUGUUAACUCUCUUAAGGGAACAAACUGCUCACCACAGAUCAUUAGACAGUACAGGGGAUGUAUGAAAUAACAAACACAAUAUGAAAACGGAAACCAAUUCUAACCAAGACUUCCAGGCUGUUUUCUACAUCCGGACA
ensembl:lncRNA